GAACAAAUAGCAAAUAAAUUGCAUGUCGAUUUCGGCUCGACAAGAGCCUAACGGCAUUUGUUUU
rnacentral:tRNA from 1 species